UCCAAAAUAGGAGAGGCGGCAAAAUGUGAAACGCAGAGAAGUCUGCAUUUCCUUUCGCCCUUUCUUUCUCGCACCCACAGUUACACACACAUACACGCACGAACUCCACACAGUACUCAUAGAAGAUCCAUAAGUAACCGUUGCGCACUUGCAAUCACGAAAUCUCUCUCUCAUCCCCUGCAGCUUUUCUGAAUCGCACUUUCAGCUUCUCGUUGUUCGGAAGUUUUCCGAGUGUUGUUGUUGGUUGAAAGUUGCUCUUCAUUCUCUUCUAGUGACAUUUUGGAAAUUCGGAGUUGCAGAAAUCUUAUGGUAUACGAUUUUCUCAGCUUCAAAAAGGUCUUAGUUAUCCGUGAAGACACUGCCACUGAGUCGCAUUCAAGACACUUAUGACAUGCACACGGAAUGUGAUUUCAUAAUCUGGAAGCUUCAGGCAUUAUGCAUUUUUAUUAUGUCAUAACGACAAAUCAAUGAAUACUUCAAUUCUUUACCUGCAUCCUGAGAACUGACAAGGGGAUUGAAAGAACCGCUCAUGGUAAAAUUAGUUUCUGCAUUUUCAGCGGCGGCUGUGGAUCCAGCAGCAUGUGCUAGUGCCAAGAGAUGUCCGAAGGACACAUUGCUCCAUUUGUCUACAUCAUCAGUACUGGAGAAGUUAUUGUACAUUUUAAUAUUGUUGUCUCCAUACAUUUUGGAUUUUGUGCCUGGUGCUGCUUCCCAAGUGUCAAAAUACUCUGUUACUGUUGCUGAAUUUGUCGAACCAGGACAUGCAGGCACGUGUCGACCUUCAGAUUGAUGACAAACUUGGUUUUGCUGGAGUUGUUGGUAACCAUGAAUUGGCAAUCUGAAAAUCUUCUGUUUGUGGAAUUGAGCUUCCUUGUCUUCCGUCCAUGCCGCAGCGUCAGACUGGGAUGAAGGUACUGCCGGAGAUCUCACAGAGGCAGUGGACGGCAAGGAGAAACUGAAACAGAGUAUUCCAUAAAGGGGAGAGAGAAAGUAGGAAAGAAGCCAAAACAGAAAUACCAGUGCUUUUAUUCCGAGACUCAGAUAAAGCUCUUUGAGAAACUGGUAACUUUUUUUCCCGGUAAACUAUUAAAACUCCAUUAUUUUAUUCUAUGUAUUAUUAUUUAAAUAAACCAAUAAAUAUCGUGUAAAGAAAUUUUACUCACACCUGAUAUUUACGUCAAAUUAUAGAGACUAUUUUACAUGA